GGCGGCGGCGCUGGAAGUGACGCGGCGAGGGCGGGGCCGAAUUGUAGCCUCCGUCGCCGCCUCCCGGGCCGGGAAGCGAUGUAGGAACCGCCAGACGGUCCCAAGCUCUUCCCGGCCCGAGCCCCGCGGCCUGCCGCCGCCGCCGCCACCGCCGCCGCCAUGAAGAAGCAAUUCAACCGCAUGAAGCAGCUGGCCAACCAGACCGUCGGCAGAGCUGAGAAAACAGAAGUCCUCAGUGAAGAUCUGCUACAGAUCGAACGGCGCCUGGACACUGUGCGGUCAAUGUGCCACCAUUCACAUAAGCGUUUGAUAGCAUGCUUCCAGGGUCAGCAUGGCACCGAUGCCGAGAGGAGACAUAAAAAGCUUCCUCUGACAGCGCUCGCCCAAAACAUGCAGGAGGCUUCAGCCCAGCUCGAAGAGUCUCUCUUGGGGAAGAUGCUGGAGACCUGUGGGGAUGCUGAGAAUCAGCUGGCUCUUGAGCUCUCCCAGCACGAAGUCUUUGUGGAGAAGGAGAUAGUAGACCCUCUCUACAGCAUAGCAGAGGUGGAGAUUCCCAACAUCCAAAAGCAAAGGAAACAGCUUGCUAGAUUGGUGUUGGACUGGGAUUCAGUCAGAGCGAGGUGGAACCAAGCACACAAGUCUUCAGGAACCAACUUUCAGGGGCUUCCAUCCAAAAUAGACACCCUAAAGGAAGAGAUGGAUGAAGCUGGGAAUAAAGUCGAACAGUGCAAGGAUCAACUCGCAGCAGAUAUGUACAACUUCAUGGCCAAAGAAGGGGAGUACGGCAAAUUCUUUGUGACGUUAUUAGAAGCCCAAGCAGAUUACCAUAGAAAAGCAUUAGCAGUCUUAGAAAAGGCCCUUCCCGAAAUGCGCGCCCAUCAAGAUAAGUGGGCAGAGAAACCAGCCUUCGGGACACCCCUGGAGGAACACCUGAAGAGGAGUGGGCGUGAGAUUGCUCUCCCUAUUGAGGCCUGCGUCAUGUUGUUGCUGGAGACUGGCAUGAAGGAGGAGGGCCUUUUUCGGAUUGGGGCUGGAGCCUCCAAAUUAAAGAAGUUGAAAGCUGCUCUGGACUGCUCCACAUCUCACCUGGAUGAAUUCUAUUCAGAUCCUCAUGCUGUAGCAGGUGCUUUGAAGUCCUAUUUGCGGGAAUUGCCUGAGCCCUUGAUGACUUUCAGUCUGUAUGAAGAAUGGACACAAGUUGCAAGUGUGCAGGAUCAAGACAAAAAACUUCAAUAUUUAUGGACAACAUGUCAGAAGUUGCCACCACAAAAUUUUGUUAACUUUAGGUAUUUAAUCAAGUUCCUUGCAAAGCUUGCCCAGACCAGUGAUGUAAAUAAAAUGACUCCUAGCAACAUUGCCAUUGUGCUGGGCCCUAACCUGUUGUGGGCCAAACAAGAAGGAACACUGGCUGAAAUAGCAGCUGCCACAUCCGUCCACGUGGUCGCGGUAAUUGAACCUAUCAUCCAGCAUGCAGAUUGGUUCUUCCCUGGAGAGAUAGAAUUCAAUGUAUCAGAAGCAUUUGUUCCUCUUGCUACCCCAAAUUCUAAUCACUCAACCCACACUGGAAAUGACUCUGACUCGGGGACUCUGGAGAGGAAGCGACCUGCCAGCAUGGCGGUGAUGGAAGGGGACUUAGUCAAGAAGGAGAGCUUUGGUGUGAAGCUUAUGGACUUCCAGGCCCACCGGCGGGGUGGCACUCUAAAUAGAAAGCACGCGUCCCCUGCUUUCCAGCCGCCACUCCCGCCCACAGAUGGCAACGCCUUGGCUCCAGCAGGCCCAGAGCCUCCUUCUCAGAGCUCUAGGGCUGACAGCAGCUCAGGGGGUGGGCCUGUCCCCUCUUCUGCGGGCAUAUUGGAGCAGGGGCUGAGCCCAGGUGACAGCAGUCCUCCAAAACCCAAAGACACUGUGUCUGCAGCUGUCCCUGCACCAGGAAGAAACAACAACCAAGUGACCACAGGCCCAAGCCAGGCCCAGGCAGGUGGCAGCUCCCAUCAGCUCUCAGUGGGCACACCUCACAGUGCAGCUGGUCCCAGCCCUCACACUCUGCGUCGAGCUGUGAAGAAACCUGCCCCGGCACCCCCCAAACCAGGAAACCCACCUCCUGGCCACCCUGGGGGUCAGAGCUCUCCUGGCACAGGCACAUCCCCAAAGCCGAGCACACGCAGCCCUUCGCCACCCCUGCAGCAGGCCCCAGGCAUGCGCCGCUGCUCCAGCAGCCUGCCUCCCAUCCAGGCGCCCAGCCACCCACCACCACAGCCCCCCACACAGCCCCGGCUGGGCGAGCAGGGACCAGAGCCGGGCCCCACGCCACCGCAGACCCCCACACCACCCAGCACCCCACCCUUGGCCAAGCAGAAUCCCUCGCACAGUGAGACUACACAGCUGCAUGGAACCCUCCCAAGGCCGCGACCGGUGCCCAAGCCUCGCAACCGGCCAAGCGUGCCGCCACCCCCGCAUCCACCUGGCACCCACGCGGGGGAUGGCAGCCUCGUGCCUUCGGCGCCCACAGCGCCCACAGCCUCCAGAAUCGUCACUGAUGCCCUUCCUAGUGCCCUCACAGGUGGGGAAGGUUUCCAGAACUAAGGUCUGUAAUCCCUCAGCAGCUUCAACUGCAGCUGCAAACGCUCCCGCUUAGCCAUGUUCUGUGUGUGUGCUUUUGACUUUGUGCUCAGGGUGGCCAUUUGAGUCCAUGCCGUGGCCAUCAGUCAGCCGUCCAUUCUGUAGCAGAGAGUUAUGCCUUUGGUCCCAUCCACAGCACUUGAGCUUUGGCUUUCCCCAAAUCUAAGAGGUGGCUCUCACCGGGCAGAGGUCGCGGUUUGAAGCCCUCAGUAAGAUGCUGUGUUGCUCCAUUUUUUGUCUGGUGAGCCUCUCCCAGUGUUGUGCUCUUCCCAGCACCAUUUCCCUGUCACUGGCUUAUCAACAUCCAGCAGGAGGACCAGGGUAACCAUCAGCACAGGCAGUCGUGCAUCCCUGUGUUUUGUGCUUGAAUUUUUAAUUUUGUAUUUUAAAUGCAAGGUAACUGCAUGGAGCUUCUUAAUUGAUGUAUAAAAUUCUCAGCCCCUCCAAACUUCCCCAAAUAAUCCUCCCCUGAACUCCCUUUAAGCCCCUUUGUGUUCCAGCUUGCUUACAUUUGCUUUCCUAAGCUGUACGGGCAUUUAAAACAGUGAGGCUCCUCUGAACAUAUCUCUGGGCAUGUACUGGGCCAGCAGAAGGCUCCUGUGUGGUAGCGUUGCUUUAAUCAGAGCCCUUAGCCUUUUGUAGGAUACAUACAGUAUGUGUCCACGGCUUAGUUCAAGUUGGAAUGAUGGAGGAGGAUAUAGGCAUCCAUCCGCUUUCCUCAGGAUCUGGUGAUUAAUCCAGUAGUUGAGUGACUAAACUUUAGUUAAGACUGAGCCUUUUAACACUUUAAUACUUACAACACCCAAAUUCUACUCAGUCCUGUCCUUUUUAUCUAGACUAGAAAGAAGAUUGCAAACCAGGAUUAUGCCUGUUCGUAAUACCAGAGUCACCUGUGGUGGUGUAUGCCAAGAUUGCUUUAAUUGACUCCAUAGUCACCUGUGGUGGUGUAUGCCAAGAUUGCUUUAAUUGAUUUAUCAGUCAGUUAGAUAGGUGGAAUUUUACAUUUAAAAAUGAUCUAAAGUGUUACCUAUAUUUUUUAAUUUUAAUUUUAAUUUCUUUGCUAUAAAUUUUCUUAGCACAAGAAAUACAAGGUCCCUGUAACUUCCUUUGUAUUACUGUAGCAUUAACCUAAAGUAUCUUAACAUCCCCUGGCCUACCCUUGGAAAUGUACACAAGGCCGGCAUUUGGAAUCUAGGAAUCCUUUAGCAUUUACCAUGCUGUUAGUGACUCUUCCUGGAUAUAGCCGAUGGUUUUCAAGAAAAAGGAAAGAGCAGCACAGUCUUUUGUUAUGCUUUAGCUUGGAGAACUUUGGAAAGAUUCCUGAAAACAUCUCACCUAUUUGGAUUAUUUAAUUGUAAAGAGCUGGAGUAAGGUUUAAGGGAUUAAGGUGAAUGCUUGUGGGCAGAGCACGCUGCCAAGCUGACUUGGUAGUCCUCUCCCCAAAGUUCAGUAUCAGAGCUCUGGAGAAGGGAAGGAUUCUGAGUCAUUCUGAAUGUCAAACUCUCAUUAUAACUCUGCAAAGCAGGAGGAUUUUAGCAAAGAGUAUUCUAAUUUAAACAUUUUAUUAAAUAAUUUAGAUGUAUGACCUGCCAUAUUCAGUAAGAACUGAAAUUGGAAUGUUUAAUGACACCAAUUCUAGGGUUUCAGAAUCACUUCGCAACAUCUUUCCUGAAAUACAUUCAGACUUGGCAAGCAAAGAAGUGCCUGGCCACAUUCUGCUGGACAUAGACAAUGACA